rnacentral:lncRNA from 12 species
GGGGGGCGGGGGGGAAGGGGGGUGCAGUGUGCAGACCCUCUCAUUGCCCGGGGAGCCCCUCAGCCGACCUCAGGGGAAGAUCUCAUUUUAUCAGAGCUUCUCCUCUUGUGCACUUGCCGGAGAGGCCCAAGGGGAAGCCGGUUUGGCACCCCCUCCCCCAAUUUCCAGUACUCACUCGUGAAGUGCAUGGGUGGUACUUGGCGGUCAAGGCCAAGAGUAGGGGACAAACGGAUGGUACAGGCCAGAGGCGGGAAGCCUUCCUCUGCAUGGAGACCUUGGAUAUGGCUUUUGUGGCUUUGCAGUGCAAGAACCUGGCCCCGUAUGGCCAGGUAGAAAAGGGUGCUUUUGCCCUCCCCGAUUCCAACAUCCAAAUGUGUAAUGCAGAACUAACAAAUUGCCGAACCGAGCAGCUAUGAAGAGGAUAACCAAGGUGCUAAAAAAAAAAAAAAAAAAAGAAAAAAAAUUCUCUGAAUUAGCAGCAAAUCAUUUUCCACCUGUGCUAAAUACCUUUUGGGGUCUCUGUGAGACCGAGCCCCUUUCUUGGAGAAUUGCUCCUCCCUCCCCCCACCCCACGAAGGACUGCAAACGCAGGUCAUGCUUACCUCACAUGACCCCAUGAGGCUGGCUCACUCCUGAUCCACGCUGGACACAAAGCAAGACAGAUUCUUGCUCUGGGAGCUGGAAUGUCAGACAGUCGUUUGGUUGUGCCGAAGCUGGGAGAAGGUAGCGCUCUGGGGUUCAGGGCCACUAUCUUCAGCCAUGUGUACUGACAGGUGGAAAGCCAGAGGGGGGUGUAGGGUAAGUUUUGCCAUCAGAGAUGUUGAGAGAAGCAGACCAGCGACAUCCACUCCUUUUAUAAAGGAUGACCUUCCAUUUGCUCUCUGGCCAACCCUCAACUCCCAACUGUGUCCUCUCCUCAUGCUUCCUCUUAAGCCUCAUCCCUCCAUUCCCUUUUAAUCUAAUCAGCCUCUUGGCCAAUGCCUGCUACAUGGUCAUCUUCUCAGUGCCUUGAAAUUUUUUUUUCUAAUAUACCCACAGAUUAUAACAUUGUAAUGUAUUAUUUUGUCAGAGACAAGGGAACUAGCAGCUUGUGGCAUACUAUCU